rnacentral:tRNA from 4 species
CGGCGCGGCCUCCAGCGUUUCAGGCGCGGUGACAUGGGGUGUCGGGGGUCGGAGGUUCAAAUCCUCUCGUGCCGACCA